rnacentral:rRNA from 1 species
UAGACGUUGUCAGUUUGAAGACGGCGACGAUGAAACGUUCCGACGCUGGUGGAUGUGGCUGCGGCCGAUUAGGUAGAUGGUGGGGUAACGGCCCACCAUGCCGAUAAUCGGUACGGGUUGUGAGAGCAAGAGCCCGGAGACGGAAUCUGAGACAAGAUUCCGGGCCCUACGGGGCGCAGCAGGCGCGAAACCUUUACACUGCACGCCAGUGCGAUAAGGGAACCCCGAGUGAAAGGGCAUAUCGCCCUUUCUUUUCUGAACCGUAGGGAGGUUCAGGAACAAGAGCUGGGCAAGACCGGUGCCAGCCGCCGCGGUAAUACCGGCAGCUCAAGUGAUGACCGAUUUUAUUGGGCCUAAAGCGUCCGUAGCUGGCCAUGCAAGUCCGUCGGGAAAUCCACCCGCUUAACGGGUGGGCGUCCGGCGGAAACUGCACGGCUUGGGACAGGAAGGCUCGAGGGGUACGUUCGGGGUAGGAGUGAAAUCCCGUAAUCCUGAACGGACCACCGAUGGCGAAAGCACCUCGAGAGGACUGAUCCGACAGUGAGGGACGAAAGCUGGGGUCUCGAACCGGAUUAGAUACCCGGGUAGUCCCAGCUGUAAACGAUGUUCGCUAGGUGUGUCACUCACUACGAGUGAGUGAUGUGCCGCAGGGAAGCCGCUAAGCGAACCG